GUAAACGUAAGGUGAGUCAGUUUUGCGUGAUUAUAGAUUUGCUCAAGUCAGUUUGCGUUACUUUAUAUUUCCAUGCGAGUUAGUUUUCUUAAUUCCUGCGUGCGUGAGUGAGUGUGUGGAUCAGAAAGUUUGCGUGCAGGUCGCCGCCGCCAAGGAUGAGACCGAUAGUCUUUGUAAUAGUUUCUCAUCCUUGGUCGCCGCCACCUGGCAGAUUUGAAAUAGCGCGCCUGAGAGCAGAGCGGCGCGUUGGUGUGCGCAAUUUGGCGGGAAACUGUGUUGUGCUUUCCCCGUGUGUUUGUGUGACUGUACCUCUGUUUCUGACGCUCCCUUUCCUUCACCAUGGCUUCUACCACACCCUCUACUAAGGCACAGGCAGACUCCACCACAACCCAACAACCUACUACAGAUGAAAAAGUACAUGCGGCAAGUGCAGCAGCGUUCGACCGUUUCUCUCAGGGCAAGCGACACCUCCUGGUGGGGGACUUCAAAUCUGCUGUCACUGCCUUCAAGGAGGCAACAGAGUCCCUGGUGGAGCUGUAUGGGGAGCAGGCGCCGGAGUGUGGUGACACGUACUACCACUAUGGCCGUGCAUUGCUGGAGCUGGCACGCAAGGAGGCAGGGGUGCUGGGGCCAGAUCUGGAUGGUGCCAGUAGUCAGGAGGGAAGCACAGGGGAGGAGGAGGACGAGGAGGAAGAGAGUGAAGAGUCACAAGAGGAGGAGGAAGGUGGAAAGAAAGAGGAAGGAGAGGAGGAGGAGGAGGAGGAGGAGGAAGAUGGAGAAGGAAAGGAGAAAGAUAAGAAGGAAGGAAAUGCCGCAGAAGGAGAAGGUGAGUUGUUAAUGAGGUUUUGUGUGCUAAGUUUUCUGAAAAUUUUAUUUGUUUACAUGAAGUUUGUUUUGUAUAUUACUCUUAAUAUACUACUUCUCCCACCACAUGCAAUUUGUCUGUCUGCUGUUGUGGUUCUUUCAUUUCUUGUUCCCUUUCCUGAAUAUACCAUUUCCUUAGUUUCAUAUCUAGUACCCUCCAAUAAAAUUUCUGCUUCUCGGUCUCUGUACUUCUCUCGUUUUUUUUGCUUGGCUUCAUUCCUCAGAUCCUUCUCUUUUUCCCUUUCUUCCAAGUUCAUAUCUCUUUUUUACCCAAAUAUUCUUGUAUUCUGAAUUUUCAGCCAGCUUCCCAGUUCUCACUAGGAUCUCCUUUACUGUAACUUGGGAUCUCAUUCUCACUUUUAAUGGUCUUUUACCUCCUUCACUAUAUUUUCCAAUUCUAUAUGCUUCUUCCACUUCUCAUUCCAGUCCCUGUUCUUCACCUUGGACCAUUGUAAUAAUUUUCCUUACCAACUCCUCUCUCUCUCUCUCUCUCUCUCUCUCUCUCUCUCUCUCUCUCUCUCUCUCU